UGGCCAUCUAACGUUUACUGAGCCACUGCCUGCCUACAACCCCAAUCUGGAUUCCAGAAGAGACAUCAUUGCUUCUCUUUGGACUCAUCUUGACAAUAGACAUGGAGGAACUAUCUCCUAUAGAGAGGAUACAAGCAGUGCUGUACUGGCACAAGUCACUGCAGCUGUUAAUCAAAACUUCCCUAGCAUACCUUUUGCUGCUACUUCAGCUUUUGUCGCUACCUGGGACAGUGUGCCUUACUAUAAUGGUGGAGGGGUAAGAUCUAAUCAUUGUUUAUCAAUGAAUUAGUGUUUUCCUGUGAGGGGUAAAAGUUUUUAAUGAUGUCCGUUGGUAUUUUGAAGUUGGUUACUUUCCAGGUGGUUUUAGUCUCCAGUGUCCAUCGCUCUUUCACCCUGAUCAACUAUGGAGACAUUGCAGAAACAGAACAAAUUUGGCUGGCUGGUUACAACACGGUGGACUCUGUCAGUUCUUUCACAAUUCCAGUUACCAGUGCCCCAGAACUCUCAUCCAGCAGCAAUAUCAAUGUGAAUGGUCACUGGUCCUUCCAUGUUGAUGGCUCACCAAACUGUGCGUCUCAAUAAUUGUCUUAUUGUUUGCAAUAAAUGCCAUUGUAACAGGAAACUUACUUUACCUGUACCAUUUUAAUGUUUCUGUAGCACAACUAAAGAAUUCAUUCUCACUUUUCCUUUUCAUAGUGCCAGCUAAUUUCUUGCCUUCCGGCAAUGGAGAAAUAGUAAACUGCAUAUCUGAUGUUGGAAGCUCGGAAGCCAUUGCUUUGCAGCAGCCUUUCAAAUACUUUGAACACACAUACAGUCAGAUCUUUGUAAGCAUUUAUUUUAUUUAUUUAUUUUUUUUUCCAAAGAUAUCUGUGAGAAUUCUUUACUUCUGAAGACUCUGUGAAAUUCAAAUUACUUUUAAUGGGUUUUAAGAGGAUAAGUCUUGGUUAGUCAAAUAUAUGUCCUUUAAAACACACUUUUUUUCUUUUUCUUUUUUUUCUUCCUUUUUUUUUUUUUUUUUUUAAUUUUAGGUAAACAACAAUGGCCAUCUAACAUUUUCAGAGCCACUGUCCACCUACACCCCCCUUGUGAAUUCUGGAAGAGACAUUAUUGCUCCUCUUUGGACUCACCUUGACAAUAGACGUGGAGGAACUAUCUCCUAUAGAGAGGAUACAAGCAGUGCUAUACUGGCACAAGUCUCUGCAGUUAUUAAUCAAAACUUCCCUAACCUUCCUCUUCCUUUUAACACUACAUCAGCCUUUGUGGCUACCUGGGACAGUGUCCCGUACUCCUCUGGUGAAGGGGUAAGACCAAAUUUUUAAUUGACCAUACUCUAUCAAUAUUGAUUAUGGAGUUCUGUGUAUUUUUCUUUGAAAUUUUCUGAAUGCUGUCUAUUGGUGUUUUGAAGGUGGUUACUUUUCAAGUUGUUUUAGUGUCCAAUGUUGACCACUCCUUCAUCCUGUUCAACUAUGGAAUCAUUGCAGAAACAAGACAACAUUGGCUAGCUCACUACGGCACAGUGGACUCUGCACACUCAUCUUCUAUUUCCUUACUGACGGCUUCUGAAUUGUCAUCCAACAGUAAUGUCAAUGUGAAUGGUCGCUGGGUUUUUCAUGUUUAUGAUG